rnacentral:rRNA from 1 species
UACGUAGGGUGCAAGCGUUGUCCGGAAUUAUUGGGCGUAAAGAGCUCGUAGGCGGUCUGUUGCGUCGGCUGUGAAAACCCGGGGCUCAACUCCGGGCCUGCAGCCGAUACGGGCAGACUAGAGUUCGGCAGGGGAGACUGGAAUUCCUGGUGUAGCGGUGAAAUGCGCAGAUAUCAGGAGGAAUACCGAUGGCGAAGGCAGCCCCCUGGGUCGAUACUGACGCUCAUGCACGAAAGCGUGGGGAGCAAACAGG